GUGGAGAACCGAGUUCGGGUUUCAAGUACCCGGAUUUGGGGUCGCCACAGGUUGGUAUCAAAGCUGUAGGUUAUAAACGUUAGGAAUGCGAAACCUGGGUUAUAACCUUAGUAGAAUGGAUAACGAAAGUUAAGAUAAAUAUUCAAUGGAUGAAGAACUCUGGUGAAGAAUUAUAACCUUAGUAGAAUGGAGGACGAAAGUUAAGAUAGAUAUUCAGUGAACCAGGAGACGAAGUACUCUUGUGAGAAGUUAUAGGAUAUGAUGAGUUAAAGAGAUUCAUCAAGUUUUAGUUAGACUAAAUAAAAUAUUCCUUCAUUUUAUCGAUGAAUAUAUUUUAUUUUGGUACUAAUGUUGUCUCGUUUAUUGUGGUCAUAUAAUGGAUGACGAAAGUCAAGAUAGUAAUUCCUUGACCUAAGAGACGAUGGACUCUAGCGAGGAGUACACAGACAGUGAGAUGAUAA
rnacentral:lncRNA from 1 species